rfam:Dictyocaulus viviparus strain HannoverDv2000 D_viviparus-1.0_Cont18824.1, whole genome shotgun sequence.
GCCUCGGUUGUGUAAUGGAAAGCACGCCAGACCGGAUAUCUGUAAGUGCUGGUACGAGUCCCGCCUGAAGUA